rnacentral:rRNA from 1 species
GGGGAAUUUUCCGCAAUGGGCGAAAGCCUGACGGAGCAAUACCGCGUGAGGGAUGACGGCCUGUGGGUUGUAAACCUCUUUUCUCAAGGAAGAAACUCUGACGGUACUUGAGGAAUAAGCAUCGGCUAACUCUGUGCCAGCAGCCGCGGUAAUACAGAGGAUGCAAGCGUUAUCCGGAAUCACUGGGCAUAAAGCGUCUGUAGGUUGCUUGCCAAGUCUGCUGUUAAAGACUAGGGCCUAACCCCGGGAAAGCAGUGGAAACUAGUAAGCUUGAGUGUGGUAGAGGUAGAGGGAAUUCCUGGUGUAGCGGUGAAAUGCGUAGAUAUUAGGAAGAACACCAAUGGCGAAAGCACUCUGCUGGGCCAUAACUGACACUGAGAGACGACAGCUAGGGGAGCAAAUGGGAUUAGAUACCCCAGUAGUC